rnacentral:rRNA from 2 species
GGAGAAUUGAGGGGGGCUGCUCCUAGUACGAGAGGACCGGAGUGGACGCAUCACUGGUGUUCGGGUUGUCAUGCCAAUGGCACUGCCCGGUAGCUAAAUGCGGAAGAGAUAAGUGCUGAAAGCAUCUAAGCACGAAACUUGCCCCGAGAUGAGUUCUCCCUGAGACUUUAAGUCUCCUGAAGGAACGUUGAAGACGACGACGUUGAUAGGCCGGGUGUGUAAGCGCAGCGAUGCGUUGAGCUAACCGGUACUAAUGAACCGUGAGGCUUAACCUUACAACGCCGAAG